AACGAACGCUGGCGGCGUGCCUAACACAUGCAAGUCGAACGGAAUUAAAGAGCUUGCUCUUUGAUUUAGUGGCGCACGGGUGAGUAACGCGUAGAUAAUCUGCCUGACGAUCUGGGAUAACACUUCGAAAGAGGUGCUAAUACCGGAUAAGCCCACGGGUUCUUUGGAAUCUGCGGGAAAAGGGGGGGACCUUCGGGCCUUCUGUCGUCAGUUGAGUUUGCGUACCAUUAGCUAGUUGGUAGGGUAAAGGCCUACCAAGGCGACGAUGGUUAGCUGGUCUGAGAGGAGGAUCAGCCACACUGGAACUGAGACACGGUCCAGACUCCUACGGGAGGCAGCAGUGGGGAAUUUUGCGCAAUGGGCGAAAGCCUGACGCAGCAACGCCGCGUGAGUGAUGAAGGCUUUCGGGUCGUAAAGCUCUGUCAAUGGGAAAGAAGUGUAUUUUGGCUAAUAUCCUUAAUACCUGACGGUACCCAUAAAGGAAGCACCGGCUAACUCCGUGCCAGCAGCCGCCGCGGUAA
rnacentral:rRNA from 1 species